GCUCCAGUGGUGCGAUCGGUCAGCGUGCGGUACUUCCAGCCCAGUACAUGGUGGGAGAAGCUGAGGUUGUGAGUUCAAGCCUCACCUGCAGCA